UGAAAAGUUGGUGAUCGGAGCUUGGAAGA
rnacentral:piRNA from 1 species